rnacentral:rRNA from 1 species
GAUGAACGCUGGCGGCGUGCCUAAUACAUGCAAGUCGAGCGAACAGAUGAGGAGCUUGCUCCUCUGACGUUAGCGGCGGACGGGUGAGUAACACGUGGAUAACCUACCUAUAAGACUGGGAUAACUUCGGGAAACCGGAGCUAAUACCGGAUAAUAUAUUGAACCGCAUGGUUCAAUAGUGAAAGACGGUUUUGCUGUCACUUAUAGAUGGAUCCGCGCCGCAUUAGCUAGUUGGUAAGGUAACGGCUUACCAAGGCAACGAUGCGUAGCCGACCUGAGAGGGUGAUCGGCCACACUAGAACUGGGACACGGUCCAGACUCCUACGGGAGGCAGCAGUAGGGAAUCUUCCGCAAUGGGCGAAAGCCUGACGGAGCAACGCCGCGUGAGUUAUGAAGGUCUUCGGAUCGUAAAACUCUGUUAUUAGGGAAGAACAAAUGUGUAAGUAACUAUGCACGUCUUGACGGUACCUAAUCAGAAAGCCACGGCUAACUACGUG